rnacentral:rRNA from 1 species
UACGGAGGAUGCGAGCGUUAUCCGGAUUUAUUGGGUUUAACGGGUGCGCAGGCGGCGUGUCAAGCAAGCGGUAAAAUAGCGGGGCUCAACCCCGUCGAGCCGUUGAAACUGGCAGGCUUGAGUUGGCGAGAAGUACGCGGAAUGCGCGGUGUAGCGGUGAAAUGCAUAGAUAUCGCGCAGAACUCCGAUUGCGAAGGCAGCGUACCGGCGCCAGACUGACGCUGAGGCACGAAAGCGUGGGGAUCGAACAGG